CAAUAGCGUAUAUUUAAGUUGUUGCAGUUAAAAAGCUCGUAGUUGGAUUUCGGUUAAGAGCGACCGGUCCGCCGUUUGGUGUGCACUGGUUGGUUUUAACUUCCUGUAGAGGACGUGCUCUGGGUUUAACGACCUGGACUCGGAGUCUACGUGGUUACUUUGAAAAAAUUAGAGUGUUCAAAGCGGGCUUACGCUUGAAUAUUUCAGCAUGGAAUAACACUAUAGGACUCCUGUCCUAUUUCGUUGGUCUCGGGACGGGAGUAAUGAUUAAGAGGAACAGUUGGGGGCAUUCGUAUUGCAUUGUCAGAGGUGAAAUUCUUGGAUUUAUGAAAGACGAACUUCUGCGAAAGCAUUUGCCAAGGAUGUUUUCAUUAA
rnacentral:rRNA from 1 species